rnacentral:rRNA from 1 species
GAUCCUGGCUCAGGAUGAACGCUAGCUACAGGCUUAACACAUGCAAGUCGAGGGGCAGCAUGGUCUUAGCUUGCUAAGGCUGAUGGCGACCGGCGCACGGGUGAGUAACACGUAUCCAACCUGCCGUCUACUCUUGGCCAGCCUUCUGAAAGGAAGAUUAAUCCAGGAUGGGAUCAUGAGUUCACAUGUCCGCAUGUAAGUAUUCGU